GUCAGGAUGGCCGAGUGGUCUAAGGCGCCAGACUCAAGUUCUGAAGACCGGGUUCAAAUCCCACUUCUGACA